UCCCUGGUGGCCUAGUGGUUAAGGAUCCAGCGUUGUCACUGCUGUGGCUUGGGUCGAUUCCUGGCCUGGGAA
rnacentral:tRNA from 1 species